rnacentral:snoRNA from 1 species
CCUAUCCAGGAUGACAAGUUGAUCUCGUACAUCCCGCACGGGCUGGACGUCGACUAUCAGCCGCUUGUCUCAGCCCUCGACGCCCGCAUCACACCUGUUACUCUCGAUGAGCUCUACGCCAUGAUGAGUAACUUUGAUC